rnacentral:tRNA from 1 species
AUGAGUAUAAUUUAAUUGGUAAAAUGUCUUCCUUCCAAGAAGAAAUAGUCUGUUCGAGUCAGAUUACUCAUA